AACGAACGCUGGCGGCAUGCCUAACACAUGCAAGUCGAACGAGACCUUCGGGUCUAGUGGCGUACGGGUGCGUAACGCGUGGGAACCUGCCCUUAGGUUCGGAAUAACUCCCCGAAAGGGGUGUUAAUACCGGAUAAUGUCUUCGGACCAAAGGUUUAUCGCCUUUGGAUGGGCCCGCGUUGGAUUAGCUAGUUGGUAGGGUAAAAGCCUACCAAGGCGACGAUCCAUAGCUGGUCUGAGAGGAUGAUCAGCCACACUGGGACUGAGACACGGCCCAGACUCCUACGGGAGGCAGCAGUGGGGAAUAUUGGACAAUGGGCGAAGGCCUGAUCCAGCAAUGCCGCGUGAGUGAUGAAGGCCUUAGGGUUGUAAAGCUCUUUUACCCGGGAUGAUAAUGACAGUACCGGGAGAAUAAGCUCCGGCUAACUCCGUG
rnacentral:rRNA from 1 species